rnacentral:tRNA from 1 species
GGACCCGUAGCUCAAAGGGCCAGAGCCGCCGCUUCUUGAGCGGACGGCUGGAGGCUCGAUUCCUCUCGGGUCCGCCA